AGCUCGUCGGAGGAUCCGGAUUUGGAGAUGAGGACGAGAAUGUCGCCGGGGAAGAGCGCGCCGAUGUCGCCGUGGAGGGCGUCGACGGGCGGGAGGAAGGCGGAGCGGAGGAAGCCGAGGGAGGCGAGGGUUUGGGAGAGCUUUUGCGCGACGAGGCCCGAUUUACCGACGCCGGUAAAGAAGACGGCGCCGGGAGCGGAGAGGAGGGUUUCGGCGAAGGCGCAGGCGGCGGAGAGGUCGAGGGUGUCGAAGAAGUGGUUGAGGUGGUGCUGCUGGGAGAGGAAGAGGCGGCGGAGCUCGCCGACGUCGAUCGACGGCUUGUCGGUGGUGG
rnacentral:misc_RNA from 1 species